AUGAUUUGAAUCACAUUGCAAAAAUUAUGAGGACAUCAUAAGCACUAAGCAUAGUGUUUAACUGGCAUACAGAUUCAUACUUUUUAAAACAUUGUUUUUCACUCCAAAUUUUAUGUCUGAUUUACAUUGUCAAUAAAAGAUAUGAUUCCCUUGCUAAGUUUAAAGAGUGUAACAACUUUUGCUUAUGUAAGUGUUUGAUGUUAAUUCAAGCUUGUUUAUACUGCUAGGACUCUGGAUCCAGAUUCAACUUUAACCCAGAUAAUGCAAUCAGUUUACUAGGCUGACCAUGGCCUUCUCGCUUACUGGGUGCAUCAAAACGAAUGAAGCCAAGGGAUGUGAAAAACAAGGUUUGUUGUUUAAGCAUCUCAUUGCUUGUUUGAAUAGAGAGUGCCUGGAAUGUUCUCUACCCCUGCCAAAGUGUUUGAGAAAGUGAACACAAGUAGGACAUUUCUGAUACGACUAGACUUUUUCUCAUAAAACUGCAACUUGUGACUGAUUUGAUGUUUUUCAGAUGUGCUGAAAGACAUUUAAAGCACAGCCAAAAUUAUUAAUCAGUUUCAUGGUUUCACUGUGGCCUGUAAUCUAAACUGGGAGCAUCAGGUUGCAUCUUUCUACCUAUUGGCAUGUGUGAUACUUUAUCUCUAGACUGUUCAUGAAUCAUUCAGUAUGGCAGGGAAAGAGCUUCCUUUAUGCCUUUGAGCUGCCUCUGAGCCCUGGGCAGCAAACUAACAUGAUGGGCUCGUUCUGGGUAUGCCUCUGCUGGCCUACCCUACUUUGCUGGUUCUUUGCCCCAAGACUGAGCACUGCUGUUGGAUCAAACAUAACACUAAGACUUCCUGAGAGAUCUUCCUGCAAACCAGGUUUUUACUGCCCAGAGGGAGGUAGGGGUCCAGUUCCAUGUCCUAGAGGAACAUUUGGACCAAGUUUUUGGGCCCAGUCUGUAAAUGACUGCAUCAGCUGCCCACCACAUCACUAUGGACCUAGAGAAGGCUUGAGCAAUUGCCUGCCCUGUGGGCCCUGGUCACAGCAGCCUCUGCUUGGACAGGACAGCUGUACAUGUCUGCGAGAGGGUCAAGUCUUCCAGGCCAGUGAUGGACAGUGUCCAUGUACUUUGGGAUACACACAGAAAGGAGAAGCCUGUGUGUUGAAGGUCUAUGAGAUCUGCAAGGAUGGAAGAGCACGAAACCAGCAUGGAGAAUGUCUGGACCACAAGCAAUGGAAGCAGCAUUGCUCCCAGCAGGUGUGUCUAUCUCCUGAGCUGUAUGAGGGCUAUGAUGGUUCCCUGGGCCUGUGUGCUUGCAGAGGGCUGUCCAGGCCUGAGCCAGACAGGGUUGAGUGUGUUGGCUGGUGCCGGAGCAACCUGAGUCCAAUUCUGCAGCUGGUUUGCACUGGAAGCCUUUACCUGCUCUACACUGAGUCUAAUCAACAGGUGAGCAUGUCUAGAAGCAUGCUGGAGACCGUCCUCAAACACUGGGACUCCCGUGGGAGCUUAGAAUGCAAUGUGCAGCUCAACUUCUCCAGGCCUGUGUACACAGUUAAAACAGAGGAGGCGGGCUUCUUUGGUCUGCUUAAUGCCGUCCCUGUGGAGGUCAGGAGGUUGAUUCUGGCCCACAGCCAGCAAACUAACAACUACUUUGAGCCCCUAGACAAAGACAGAGGAAACAUCAAAGACAAAGAGGAAGACUGGGACUCUCAUUGGUCCGGUAUAUCAUCAGCGUUUGGUACAUCCGACAUGAGGCCUAGAGGAGUCUUGAACCCAACAGCAUGUCUACAUCCGGGAGACAUUCUUCUUUUUACAGUGACCCAACAGCACUAUCCUCAGUAUGAUGUAGACAGCUUGUAUAACACUAAUGAUGCAUUUGACUGGGGACCCUUCAGAUUACUGGCACAGGACCAAGAACUGGCACGAUCUACCCACUCCCUUUUUUCCAUAAGUCUCCAUGAGCCUGGGGUGUACGCCUUCAAACUCAGCAGCCACAAUUAUAGGCACAUGUAUGUGAGGGUAGUGCCUGCAGGUGGAGAGUGCUAUGACACUGGACCCUUCUUCCCUUCUGACCCACAUCAUUUGACUCGCAUGGGCAUCGCACAGAGACGCCACCUGCUGCUCCGCCCCAACUGGCUGAUGAUCGGUGGGCUUUUAGUAGGAGCUGUGGUAAUCCUGUGCUUGUGUGUCAUUAUAUUGAUCUUGUUCAGGAAUUACGGCUGGCCUGAGAAACUGCCAGCUCAGGUCAGGUACCGUGAUCUGCAGCUAAGGUACAACAUGGACGACUAUUCAUCAAAGGGCUCCAGGGUGGUGGCUGUGAAAAAAACACAUCGAAACCUGCAGGUGGGGUUGACUGAGGAUUCAGUGCAGAGAGGUAACCACUGACGUCACAAACCACAGACACAUGAGCAAACCUUUUUUUGUACUACCAGGGGCUACAUAUGCUACCUUCUAACACAAUUAGACCUACCUUACACAAGAUCCCUGUGCAUCCCUGGUUCAUUCCCUUGAUAUAUAUAUACAUUUAUAAUAUAUCUAAUGGUCAAAUAAGAAAAGAAAAAAGAAAACAUUUGAUCAACAUUUGAACAAUUAAAGCUACUUUUUUCCUUAAGAUAGAAAAAUAUCUAUAGAUGCUUGAAAAUAAGCAAACAUGAUUUUAGACAUUGUCAAAUUACAAGGAAUCCCUCUGUACUUCACAUUAAAAGGAGAAAACAGUUUCCCCAAGAUCUCAAAAGCUUGUUUCUUUAUUUGCUCCAAUUAGCAUUUGAACAUCCAUUGCCAAGAUUCCUUGUCUCCUUAAGAUAACCAUGAUAUGAGGCUUCAUUCAUCAUGGCUGUAGCAAAGUGACCUAUUUUAAGUGCAAGUUUUUAGGAUACCCCUGAUGUUUUGGCAGAACCAUAUCUCUGUUUGACAAACACUUAGAGUCCUAGACAGCAUCAUACACAGUUACCAAAGAUUACUCUUUGCUUUCAAUGCAACAAUUGUCAGGAGGUGUAUUGGCUGUGCUAUGGUAUUGUAUUAGCUCUGUCCAGAGCUAGAAUUCCCACAGACUGUGCUCACACUGCCCGCAGCAGUGGCUCUGGUGUCAAAUGAAUUCUGGGACUAUGAAGAGCAAGUGGAUCUCGAAGCAUUCAGCUCCAGCACCUUCUAUGACAUCCUACUCAAGCACAGCGUGUCUGUCACAAUACGUCUCGGGCAGCUCAGAGGAGAGGUGAGACUCUAUGAGAACAACAGUCUAUUUCCUGCCCCUAUGAGCUUCAAAUAUCACCCUCGUAAAGUUCAAAUAUAUUUACCCAUAUUGAAUAACAUCACUGAGAUGCUCAGUUGUAAUUAACAGUCUCUCUUGUUUCAUGGUCCACUAUGAUACCAUGUAGGAUACAGCAGUGAAUUGUUACUUCCCUGGGGUGAAGUGCGUGGAUCAACUAAAAUGAGUUGUAAAUAUAGCAUUUCUUUUCAGCUUGUUUCAUUGAUGGAAACAUUUGCCCUGUCUAGGUGAAGCAUCUCUAUCAGGGGGUGCUGGGGAAGUUGAGAGAGCUCCACCCUGGCUGGAGGAUGUUUGGAGGGAAAACCGAAGGUCUGGAGAGGCAGGUGGAGCAGGAGAUGGUGCGACGAAGAGCACUGGGCAAUCAGCUGACACAGCUGCUGGACAGCCAGCUGCAGAUCCUGCGGGUGGAGAUGAGAGCACAGCAGGCCAUGCAGAAGACCUUCAGAGCACGACUGAGAGAGAGCGCGAGGCUUCUGAGACUGCUGGCUGAGGGUCAGACCUCGCUCUGGGAUAAACACAUCAAGCAACAGUAUGUCAUGGAGAGGCAGAUAUGAAUCUGUCAGUUCUGCUUGUUUAUUCAUGUUUAUAUGUGUGUUCGAGACUUAAACAAAAACACACUUAAAGAAAAAUCCUCAACCACAAAAAAGUGGUUCAUUAAAGUCAACUGAUUAAAGAUAUAUAAUCAAAUUAAUACUAUUAUAAUAAUCUAAUUAAUCAGAAUGAUUUCUGAAGGAUCAUGUGACACUGAAGACUGGCGAAAUGAUGCUGAAAAUUCACCAUCACAGAAAUAAAUGACAUUUUAAAAUAUAUUCA
ensembl:lncRNA